CUGGUUUUCAUGGCGGAGUCGCGUGUGGCAUGGAAGAGAAAAGGAGAGGUUUGUCUUUCCCUGAAACAACUGAUGCAUGCACACAGGAUAACCUGAUUGCAUUUGUCACCCUCACAACACAAAAUGUGAGUGUUGUGUAUAAUUGUAUUAAUAACUGCUGUUCAAAGCUAUUGCUUGAAAUCCUAAUUGUAUACUUUCUAAAAAAAAAAAAAAAAAACUUUCACUUUGCACACUGAACAAAGAAGACUGAAAAGGUAAACUGAUCACAAAGGCUACCCAGUGGAAGAUUUUAAUGUACAGUACACCUGCUUCACAGCAAAUCCAAGAACACUUGGUAUUUUGUUCACAGAUGUUUAACAUAAAUAGACUUUUACAGUGAUUUGACAAGCAGUAAUCCUUGUGCACUGCUCUUGAUGCAGUUCUCAUCCUCAUCACCGCAGCAGAGUUUCCUGUAAGGUCCAAUGGAUAUUUUAGACAAGGCAUUAUGCUGUGCCAAACACCAAAUGAAUCACUGAAUCACCUAAAAAAAGCAGGUGCAUAAAAAGAGAAAUGCACAUUUAAUUUGACAUAUGCAUUUAGGUAGGUUUAUUUUUAUUACCUUUUGAGGAUCAUUUGCAAGUUGAUGGCGUGAUUUGGAGCAGGUAAGAGUUCCACAAAGACACAUCAUGAUGCAGAGAGCCAGCAGCACAAUGGUAGCCAUCAGCAGGUGAUAUCUAACAAGAGCUUUUUCAUCCUGGUAGAGUGAGAAACAGUGAGGAGAUGAUACAUAAGCAUGACUCUUUAUAGUUCAUCAACAAAGUACUCUGUAUGCCAUUUUCCAGGAUACUGUAUAUGAAGUCAUAUGGCUCUGAACAAGGCCUGCAGUAACUGGUGGAAUACAGUACUACACAGCUGAACCGUUACUUAGACAUAAAUCACUGGGGAGAAAAAAAAAAAAGUCAGUUUCCUGUCAAAGCUUCCAGCAGAAACAUGCAGUUGAAAUGUUGCAAUGGUGCAGCAGUUGUAAUGGGUGGUGAAUUACUGAGGCAUACACACUUUGUGGCCAAAAGUAUGUGGACAUUUGACCAUCACACCCAUAUGUGAAGCUUCCCUGAACUGUUGCCACAAAAUUGGAAGCACACAAUUUUAUACGAUGUCGUUCUAUGCUGUAGCAUUACAGUUUACCUUCUCUGAAACUAAGAGGCCCAAGCAUGUUCCAGCAUGACAAUGCCCCUGUGCACAAAGUGAGCUCCAUGACGACAUGGUUUGCCAAGGUUGGAGUGGAAGAACUCGAGUGGCCAGCACAGAGCCUGAUGGUCUGACAACCUCGUUUCUCUUUGUUAUUCCUGGAUUCUGUUUUCACCAAUGUAUGUUUUAUUGUUUUUGCUACCUAUUUUUCCUCAAAACUACUCCUUGUCUACUAGUUGUAUCUCCCCAUUGUAGGAGAGCUGCCAAUUUGGGACAGUAAAAGUUAACAUGUUCUUCCUACUAUACACUGACAUUUUUUAAUUGCUUAAUGUCAGGGCAGAUGAAUUUGUCUGGAGCUCACAGGUGCCCACAACUGGCUAAUGUCACUCUGUUCGACAGAGAAAGAUGAAUUAGUGGGCCAGUGAUACUGGCAUCAUCUCCCAGUGAGAAGGCUUUCAUUUAAACAGUUGAGCCCCUAAAGAGUCCCAAUAAUGUGAUUUUGUUAUGACCAAAAAGAUGGUCUAUGCUGUCUAUACCCUCCCCUAAAAUGGAGCAAGCACAAAAAGGCACUAGUUAAAAGCUAAAUAAUUAUUUAAAUAAAAUUUGGACAGCUUGGCUGAGUUGGCAGAUACAUAUGUGGUUUCUCUAGAUCUAGGAAUCUGCCUCAGGGGCUCUUUUAUCAACAGGUGUGAUUUACCUGCAACAAGAUACACUUUUUAUAAAUAUAAGGAAAAUACUUAUGUUGUUAAGUGGGCAGCUCUACAUUUAUCAAAUAUUAAGCACUCCCAAAGACAGCCUGUGGAAGAACUUCCAAAAAUUUCAGUCAAAUAUAUGCAAAAAUGACCCUUUCAGUUUUUGGCCUAAACAAUAAAAAUGACAAAUUUUGCCAAAAAAAAAAAAAAAGUUACUACAGCUCUGAUACACCACCAGAAAACCUGGCAUCCCACUCAAUCAUGUAUAAUAGUUUUAUUCAUUCAUCCAUCAUCUGUAACCAUGUUAUCCUGGUCAGCGCUGCGGUGGAUCCAGAGCCAAUCCCUGGAACACUGCAAGGUGGGAACACACUCGGGGUGGGGUGCCAGUCCCUCCCAGCACACUGUGCACAUACAUUUGCACACUUGCACACAUCUGGGGCAAUGCAGAGUCACCAAUCUACCUACCACAGGAGAUGAGAGGAAAUUGGAGAACCUGGAGGAAACCCACAUGGACACGGGGAGAACAUGGGAAACUCCAAACAGACAGUAACACAGGAUUCAACCCUGGACCCUGCACCCUGGAGCUGUGAUGCAGCGACAUGUGUACUAUUUUUAUAUUUUAUGUUAAUUGUCUGCUCUGUUUUGUGGAGUAAGUUCCUACUGAAAAGAUGGACCUACCAUGGUGUAUUUUCAUUACUUUGUAGUUUUUCAAUUAAGCAUUAAAUAAUUCAAUUAA